rnacentral:rRNA from 1 species
AGCUCCAAUAGCGUAUAUUCAAGUUGUUGCAGUUAAAAAGCUCGUAGUUGAACUUUGGACCUGGCUAAGCGGUCUAGCCGCAAGGUUAGUACUGCUUUGGCUGGGUCUUUCCUUCUAGGGAACUAGUGUGCUCUUUAUUGAGUGCGCUAGGGAUCUAGGACUGUUACUUUGAAAAAAUUAGAGUGUUUAAAACAGGCUUAUGCUUGAAUACAUUAGCAUGGAAUAACGGAAUAGGACUUUGUUUCUAUUU